rnacentral:rRNA from 1 species
GACGAACGCUGGCGGCGUGCUUAACACAUGCAAGUCGAACGGAAAGGCCCUGCUUUUGUGGGGUGCUCGAGUGGCGAACGGGUGAGUAACACGUGAGUAACCUGCCCUUGACUUUGGGAUAACUUCAGGAAACUGGGGCUAAUACCGGAUAGGAGCUCCUGCUGCAUGGUGGGGGUUGGAAAGUUUCGGCGGUUGGGGAUGGACUCGCGGCUUAUCAGCUUGUUGGUGGGGUAGUGGCUUACCAAGGCUUUGACGGGUAGCCGGCCUGAGAGGGUGAACGGACAAAUGGGGACUGAGAGACGGCCCAGACUCCAACGGGAGGCAGCAGGGGGGAAUAUUGCACAAUGGGCGGAAGCCUGAUGCAGCAACGCCGCGUGCGGGAUGACGGCCUUCGGGUUGUAAACCGCUUUCGCCUGUGACGAAGCGUGAGUGACGGUAAUGGGUAAAGAAGCACCGGCUAACUACGUG